UACGUAGGGGGCAAGCGUUGUCCGGAUUUAUUGGGCGUAAAGAGCGUGUAGGCGGUUUGGUAGGUCCGCUGUGAAAACUCGAGGCUCAACCUCGAGACGCCGGUGGAAACCAUCAGACUAGAGUCCGGAAGAGGAGAGUGGAAUUCCUGGUGUAGCGGUGAAAUGCGCAGAUAUCAGGAGGAACACCAACGGCGAAAGCACUCUGCUGGGCCGACACUGACACUGAGAGACGAAAGCUAGGGGAGCAAAUGGG
rnacentral:rRNA from 1 species